rnacentral:rRNA from 11 species
UUGCGCCAGUAGCCGUGGAGUCACAAUGUGAAAUACCACCCUUAACCUGUCUAUUAUCUAACCACGACCCGUGAACCCGGGUCUGGGACCCUCUAUGGUGGGUAGUUUGACUGGGGCGGUCGCCUCCUAAAGAGUAACGGAGGCGCGCGAUGGUAGGCUCAGGUUGGUCGGAAAUCAACUGUGAGAGUGCAAUGGCAUAAGCCUGCCUGACUGCGAGAGCGACA